rnacentral:lncRNA from 1 species
AUAUACAUGUUAUGUAUGCAGUGAUAUAUAAUGAAAUUCAACUAUAAAUUAUGUAUUAUUGAAUAUAUGUAGUAAUAUAUAUGUAAUAGAUCACAAAACAUAAAUAUAAAUAAGAUGUAUAUAUAUAUAUGAUAAAUCACUUAAUAGAAGUAGAUUAAACAGUGAUAUAUAAAUACAUAUAUUGUUGAUGAAAACUUUAUAAAACAAAAAUAUGAUUAAGAUGAUCAGAACAUGCCGUAAUUAAACAAAACAUUAAGAACAUGACCAGAAAAUAUGAUAAACAACCAAAAAUUAAAAACAUGACCGAAAGACAUAUCAAAGAACAUACUAGUCGAAAAAGAACAAACAAUAAGAUUUUUUGGCCAUCCUGUCAAAAAAUAUUAGAACUAUCAUUAAAUAUUUAUGUUUUAAAUAAGAAGAAGUAUAUACGUACUAAAUCACAUAAGAAACAUAUUAUAUUUUACUCGUAUAUUAUAGUUUAUAUUAUUCAUUUAAAAAAAUAUAUGAUAAAUAAAAGGUAUAUAAUUAUAUGAAGUGAGAAUAUGUAUGUAUAAUAUAUAUUUUAAAUACUAAUUAUUAAGGAAUACGUAGUUUACAACAUAUUUAAGAUAUAAAUAUUUAUAUGACUAACAACAUAAUAUUGCUAUAGGAUAAACAAUAAAACAAAGAACAUGAUUGAAGUGAAAAAUAUUUUUGAUUACUGUAUGUUAUUAUAUAUAUCUUAUUGUAUAUAUGAAGUGGUACUAUACAUGUCUUAUUGGAUAUAAGAUGCAAGUAAUAUUACAUAAUAAGGUAGUAUAUGUAACAAAUCACAUAAUACAUGUAUAUAUGUAAUGAUAAAAAAAAGAACUAAAUCGUUAUAUAGUAUUUGUAUGUAGUGAUAUAUAAAUUAAAUAUUAAAAAUUACAGAACUAAAAAAAGCUGUGAACUUAUUAUCCAAUAAAUGUAAGAGUAUAUAUGUAACAAAACACAAAAAUUUACUUCAAAAGAUACAAUACCAAAUGUGUAAAAAAAAAAACAUAAUGCAUUUUCUAUAAUCCGUGUAUACCAAACACGACAAGAAGAUGAAUUAAAGUAGAAAUAACAAAUUUUUUAAGGAAAAAAAUUAUAUGCUAGUAAACGGAAAUUAAAUAUUAUACUAAAAGAACACUAAACGAAAAAAAGAAUACUAACCAAUUCAAAUUCGCCAAAUUAAAAAGAAAGAAGAAAAAACAAAUUUAUUUUUCUAUAGAAAUAAGAAAAAGGAGAAUGUGUUGAGGAUGAAAUGAAAAAAUAAUUUUGAUAAAUUAUAAACAAAUAAUAAAUAUUACAUUAAUAAAUAUAAAAAUAUAUAUUAUAAUAAUUAAUUGAGAUACAAUUGAUAAAUGAGAUGAUAAUUAAGAAAAACAUUCUUCAACAUUUUCAAAAAUAUUAAAAAAUAUUUAAGAUUUACCGAUAUAAUUUAUUUUUAAAUAAUUAAAUAAAGGUUAAAAUUGUUUCAAAAUACAAUGAUUUGUUAAUUUAGAUAAUAAUUAAAAAUUUAAGACAUUUGUGAAAUAAUAGAUAAUUUAACUAUUUUCUUUAAAUCUUUUUAGGUUCUAAAAAAAAGUUCUCAUCCCAUCCAGUUAAAUAUUAAAAUUAAAGUUAUGAACCAUUUAUAACACUUUGGUAAAUUUAGGAUUAAAGUUUAUGGUUUGGGAUCUAGAGACCAACGGAAUAACUCCAAACUUGACUAACCAAAAUGAAUGAUAUCUUAAAAACAAUUUUUUAAAAAAAUUUACACAAAUAGAAGAAAAUGGAAAGUAUUUACAUUCUAAUAGUUUGGAUUUGAUUAAAAUUUUGGCUAUCUAUUCUAUGGUUAUAUAUUUUCACAUUAAUUAAAAUUGAGAAGAAAAAAAACUAGUUGAAGGGUUUUUGAAAAGUGCUAUGUAAAACCUUAAAUUAGCCAUUUCUGAUGGUUUGACAGAGUAUUGUGAAUCUGUCUUUACAUUUCUGUGUAAUUCAAGAAGAAAUCAAAUCAGGAUCAGAUGUUUCCCCAUGUCAAGUAGUUCUAAAAGAUGUCUCUUGUUGCUCCACAAAUGCAUCAAUAUGAACCAGCUAAAGCAAGCUCAUGCCCAGGUUCUUAAAUCCGGCCUCCACAACAGCAACUUCGUUUUGAGCAGAUUGUUGAAUUUUUGUGCAGAAUCCCGCAAUGGCUCUCUUUCUCAUGCAUUCAAGCUCUUCCAACACAUUCAACACCCCACCAUUUGCAUCUUCAACACCAUGAUCAAAGCCCUUCUGCUUCGAGGUGAAUUUCUCAACGCCAUUGCUGUUUUCUCUGCCAUCUUUCGAAAUGGGAUCCACCCUGAUACUUAUACUCUUCCUUACGUUCUAAAGGCUUCUGCGAGGAUGACUAACAUUCACCUUGGAGAGUCCAUUCAUGCCUGUACUAUAAAAUUGGGGUCUGCAGUGAAUGAAUUUGUGGGGAAUUCUUUACUUGUUAUGUACCGCUCGUUUGACAACAUGAGAAGUGCAAGACAAGUGUUCGAUGAAAUGCCUGAGUUAAGUGCUGUGUCAUGGACGGUUAUGAUUUAUGGGUAUGCAAAUAUGGGUGAUGUUGACACUGCAAGAGAGUUGUUUGACAUGGCUACGGUUAAAGAUACAGGGAUAUGGGGUGCUAUGAUAUCUGGGUAUGUGCAGAACAAUUGCUUCAAGGAGGGGCUUCACAUGUUCCGUCUGAUGCAGCUGACUGAAGUAGAGCCUGAUGAAGCCAUAAUUGUGACAAUCCUUAGUGCUUGUGCUCAUAUGGGAGCUCUUGAUACUGGGAUUUGGAUUCAUAGGUAUUUGGGUCGGCUAGGAUUGCCAUUAACUCUGCGAGUGAGCACUGGGCUAAUAGAUAUGUAUGCAAAAUGUGGGCAUUUGGACCUCGCUAAGUACCUUUUCAAUGAAAUGUCUCAGAGAGAUAAUGUUUGUUGGAACGCAAUGAUUUCCGGAAUGGCAAUGGAUGGAGAUGGAGAAGGUGCAAUCAAACUCUUCAUGGAGAUGGAAAAGGCUGGAAUAAAGCCUGACAACAUUACUUUCAUAGCCGUUUUGGCUGCUUGUAGCAACUCAGGUAUGGUCGAUGAAGGUAUAAGGAUAUGGAAUAGAAUGUCUACAGUACACAAAAUUGAGCCAAAGAGUGAACAUUAUGGGUGUGUAAUUGACCUGCUGAGUCGAGUUGGGCGGUUUGAGGAAGCAGAGGGAGUGAUUCAAAGGCUUCCUAAAACAGCCAGCCCUUCAGAGGAAGCAGUGGCUUGGAGAGCAUUUCUAAGCGCUUGCUGCAAGCAUGGGCAAACGCAGCAGGCAGAGGUUGCUGCUGAGAGGUUGUUCCAACUGGAAAGGCAUAGUGGGGCUUAUGUUUUGCUCUCAAAUAUGUAUGCUGCUUUGGGGAAGCAUGAGGAUGCUAAAAGAGUGAGGAACAUGAUGAAGUUGAAAGGGGUUGAGAAGGUACCUGGUUGCAGCUCUAUCAAAGUAAAUGGGGUUGUCAAUGAAUUCAUUGCAGGGGAAAAGACACACCGCCACAUUGAUAAUAUACACUUGGUUUUGGAAGAGUUGAAUAAACAGAUUGUUGAAGCUGAUCUUGAAGGUAUAAUAUCAACCGCUCACAUUGGAUAUUGAUUCGUACAAAUGCACACGUCAAAUUAUAAUAUAGUAAACUGUUCAAGAACGAUCUUUGGAGAUUUGGUGAUUAAUUAUUUUAGUCAUUGCAGAAAUCUUUCCAGAUUUAUUUAGGACGCUUAUUCUUUAUAAAGACCUAAACUAAAGAAAGUGGUAAAGGGUGACAAACAAGAUGAAACUGAGGUAGAGACACAUCAUAGGGUGUUGAUUUUGUAAUGGAUGAACUGUAUCAAUUGACUAACCCUUAAAAUUCAUGUAUUGUCAAUCAUAGAUUAGAAGCCUCAUGUACAUGUGUUCUCUCUCGAGUUUAACUUAAAUGUUUAGUUAGAAUAUAUGAAUAUCAUAAUGGAGAAGUUGUAAAAUUGUUUUGAAGACAUAAACCAUGAGCAUACCAUAUAUCAAUAAGUAAAUACUGCAAGUAUGAUAUGAGCUUAUUAGCUGUGUAUCUAACAAAAAUUAACAUUUAAUCGGUAAGUUAUUUUGAAGUGAAGUUUGUGUAUUUCCCUUUGUAAAUCAGUAAUAUAUGAGAUAUAAGACAUGGGUGUAUUGUCCAUUCAAUUAGUAAAUACUUGAAGGAAGAGAGAAUUGUAACAAUGGUAUAUCUAACAAUAAUCAAGAUUCAAUCAGUAGGUUAUUUGGAGUAAAGAAGUAAAGCUUGUUUGUUUCACUUUAUAAGUCAGCAAUAUAUUAGAUAGAUAUAAGACAUGAGUGUAUCAAAGCAUUCAAUUAGUAAAUACUUGAGUAAAACACAAGUGUAUUGAUAAUAUAUCUAACAAUAAUCAUUAUUCCAUUUACAUCAUAAAUCAAUUAUCAACUUUCAAAAAUAUAAAUAUCAAUAAUAUAUCUAGUCAAGGUAUUAAAGAAUUUCAAGUAUAUAAAAAAGUUUACAAGUACAUAUCAAGCAGCUUUCAAAAAUAUCGAUAAAUAUGACAACAAUAUAUCAACACAUAUCAAACAACUUGUUUGAGAAUGUUAAUAGUAUAUCGGCAAUAUAUCCCAUAGUAAUCAACAUAUCAACAUUAUAUCAAAAGAUUUAACUUUAAAGUCUAUAUGAACAUGUUUUGGACAUAGUGGAGCGAAGUGGAGUGAGCUAUAAUAGUCCACUCUUUGUUUGGGGUAUGACUUAGUUUUAGUUGGAGAUUAGGAUUGGAAUUUCAAAUAACACUAGUUACUAUAUUCUUCAACCCUAAGUGGGUGUUUUUUCAAGGGUUGUGAAGUUUGUCGGGCAACUUUCAUACACCACUUUCAAUGACCAUCCUUGGUCAAUCUUCGACCACCACUGUCAGCAACUCCACCAACAAAACUUUUGACAACUAACUUUGGUCACCGUCACCUACCAACCUCCAAUCACCUGAAUCAAACUUGAAAUUUUUUAAUAAAAGCAUUUUAAAUGAAGGUUGUCAAAUACAUUUACAUUUUUAUUUUAAUAAAUAUUUAUAAAAAGUGUUCAAAUAAAAAUGAACAUUUGAAUAACCAUUUUUUCUAAGUCAUUAUAAAUAUGCUCUUACUUUAACUAACAAUUUUUUUAAAAAUACAUUUUCUCAUUCUUUUAUUUUUGUUGGUUUGAUUUUUUUUCAAACUUAUUAUUAUUAUUAAACUAUCAUUUUGAAAAUGUCCUUCUUCCCUUCUUUAUUUAAAAUUAUUUUCUUCCUAUUGCAAGGAGAGCUGAACAAGUAAAUUAGACCAUAUUUUUAUGUUAAAUAAUAACUCAUUUGACUACAAUUAUGUAAAGUAUAUUUAUGUCUGGUAGGCUUGCAUAUGAAAAUGUCGAAACGUCACACCCAAACUUUAUGACUUAAAAUGAAAGACAACUAUCUAAACUAGAUACGAGACAUAAAAAAUAAGAUAAACUAGGAAUAUUCGAAGCAUACAACCAUAGGCAAACACAUUUUGAACAAAUAUGACCGUAACACACUAGGACUGUGUUUUUUCCAAAUUUUUUUGUCAUCUAAUGCAAUUUUCCGACAAUUAAUUUAAUUGUUUUUAAAAAAUAGUACCCCUAAACCAAACACAACAAUGAUGCAUCACUUAACAUGAAGAACAUCAUUUAAAGUAAAGUUUAAUCUAAAAACUGAAUCAUGCUUCUAUAUACAUUACAAACAUCCCAACCUUUACCUAGUUCUUCCAUGAAGUUUAUAACAAAGACAACAUCAAAUACAGAUUUCGGCUAUUUGGAUGUACGUGCACAAACAAGAUUUCCACUCCCUUCGGAGGCAUUACAUAAAAAUGAAACGAUACAAAAAGAUUAGCAUAGCUUCUACACAAGGAUACCAUUUCAACGAGAUGUCUACCAUGCUGAGGGAAAUCGAAUCCACUGUGUAAGCAGUCCCUGUUCAACUUACUAACUAAACAAGGAAUUCAGCAUCAGAAACUUCAAGAACCUUGUGGAAACCUAUUGGCUUCACACCUUGCCGAAAUGCAUUUCCUUCAAUGUACCUAUCAACAGCAAGACCUUGGAGAAACAUAUCUACAGAAUGAAAAUUGAUAUGAAGUUCGAAUGUAGAAUUAACUCACAUCUCUUUUAAGAAUGGGUGUUUAUAGAAGGCAUCAGGGAUUCUUCCACUAAAUUGGUUGUGAUCCAAGUACCUAGAAUUAAAAUUUUCACAGUUGGUAAACAAAAUUUAAUGGAAAACAAAACACAAAUGAUACGAAGAUACUUGCAAAGACACUGACUUUGUAAAGAAGAAAAAAAAUAACUGACAUGUAUAACAAUAAAUGACGAUCGUGGAAAGAUUUAUAACAGAAGAGUGGUCUGUACUUUGUUGAAUUCUUUUAUUGACGUAAGGAAGCAAAUCAAUCUUCAUGAUCUUCACAAUUGAAUACGUCUAAUAGGUUUCAUCCAUACUUAUUAUUUUGGGAAACAAUUUAUGAAGAACUGUAUUCUUUAUUAUCGCAAGUUGUUAGUUGAAAGAAAGAGAAAAAUUUGCACUCGAUAACUUCUUUAGAGUUGCAAGCUGAGAAAUGUCAUAGAUUAAACCAAAUACAACUGAAGAAGGAUAAAAAAAAGACUUACAGAUAGGUCAACUUAGGUAUAUGAGCAACCCCAGGUGGUAUUAUCCCAGACAUCUUGUUGUAGGAGAGGUACCUAAACCAAACAAACAAAACAAAAUGUUUAGAUAAAACUGAUGUAAUAUACUUGAGAACAAAAGCGCGAAUUUUUAGAUAACCAAAUUACAGAAUUUCCAAGUUAGUCAGGUUUGCAAGCUGUGAUGGAACUCCUCCCGUAAAAUAAUUAUUGUUGAUGUACCUACAUGGAAAAUAGAAAUAAACUAGCUGAUGAAGUAUUUAAGGAAACAAAAUUGAAUAUGACACGCCCUGACUUCAAUUAACUUACAGGUUGCGGAGUGAUGGAAAACAGCCCUCAAGGCGAAUCAGCUCCCUUAUGGUUCCUACUAAAUGGUUGUUGCCAAGAUCCCUUUACAAAAUCCAAAUGACAGGUCAAACAUUAAAAAGCGAUGCAUAACUUUCGAUAAAGAAAAGAAAAUGUCCAAAGAACAGAAGUUUACAGUUGCCGAAGAUUGGGUAGGGUGCCCAGUUCAGGAGGAAUUUUCCCUGAAAGGCGAUUUUCAUUUAAAUGGAGAUAGCGGAGCUCCCGUAGAGUAACAAGUUCUUUGGGGAUUUCUCCUUUGAAAUUAUUGAAACCCAAAUAUCUGCAUAAGCUCAAAAUUGCAACAGAAAUGAAUAGAUUAAAAUGCAAGAAAUUGGUAAAACAAUUUAUACCCGAAAUUAAAAUUACUUACAAAUGAGUUAGGCCCUUUAGUGCACCAAUCUCAGGAGGGAUGACAUCUUGAAGUUUAUUCCACCUUAAAUUCCUGUGAACGGAAUUUUGCAAAACUAUAAUUAAAAUAAUACAUCAACAAAUGGUCAGCAACGACCAAACUUUUGAACCAUAAUCUUCAUGACAUGCACGUAAUUGCUUGUUAAUUGUUAUUGACAUUCGGUUUAGCAAGCUAUUCUUUUUCUUGAAAAAGGAAACCAUAUUGGAACUGUUUUUUUUUUCUCUUUUUUUUAUUUCCUAAAAUAAUAUGCCAUCUACAGAAACAUUGGACUUUGAACUCUUUUAAAAUAAACAGGAAUCAGAAAAAAUCACAGGAAAAAAGUGCAAGGGAUGUACAGUAUUUUGAGACGUCUUAACCGUCCAAUUUGAGGAGGAAUUGGUCCAGUCAACUUGUUAUUAUGAAGAUCCCUGUUAUAAGAACAAACACAGGCAUACACAUCGUAAGCAUUUGAAGAGAUAGGAGUCCAUUCUCCCCUUCACCAUCUUUCAUUUAAAUCCUAACAAAAAGUUGAUGAAUCUAAAAUAAGUUACAUUAGAUGUGAUUUUAGGCAAGAGAUGUUUAUAUAACUGCAAUAAUGAUAAUAACCAUAUACUGAAUCAUUGACUGUGAUGGAUGAAAAUGCAACAAUUGUCUACUAACAAAACUACUUUGUACAUCAGAAGGCCACAGUUCGAAUCAGAGUAACGAAGAGUAGAAUUUUAAUUGAUCGUGGAGCAAGGAUGACUUACAAUACACUGUCACGUAUUUAAAUAGCCUCAAAGGAUUCUACUCGUCACUCGGUGGGAAUUGCAUUAGAAUAAAAUUUCUGUUUAAAAGACUAAUCAUUUGCUGAUUGAGGAACGGGCGAUUCAUGGUAGGUAGAUUGAGCAUAAUGAGAUUUGGUUAGAUUUCACAUGUCCCUUUGGGCUUCGAUUUUGAAAACCUUUUGUAAUUAUUCCAUUGAUAAUAUUUUACUUAGUUGGUCCCGUGUUUUGGUGGGCUUGUUUUUUUUUGUAUGCCCUUUAUUCUUUCAUUUUUUCCUUAUGAAAGUUGUUAUUAUAGAGAGAAAAAAAAAACUAUAACCAUUUGCUAACAUCUUUCUUUAUUUUCAAUCGACUUUCAAAUUUGUUUUCAAAAUUGUAGCCAAAUUUUAAGAACUAAAAUAAAUAGUUUUUAAAAAAACUGUUUUUUAUUUACGAAAAUUUGGCUACGAUUUCAAGACUGUUUUUUGAAAAUUUAAAACUAAACAAAGAAAGCAUUAUAUCUGCAGUUUUUUAGAAUAUUAACUGGAAACGGAAUUCUCAUUAUCAGAAAACAUAAACAAUGUAAGAUUAAUGAAAAAAUAAACGAAAUCAUAUCCCUAAACUGCCCAGGAAUUAUCAUAUUUUCUUCGGAAAUUUUCAACGACAAUGGCGAAAUUACCAGUCUAUCUCCCCAUUCAUUAUUUCAUCGGUACAUGAAAAUGAUAAAAUGAAGAUUAAGGAAAGAAGAAAUCUCACAGCCUAGUAAGGUCCAAGAGAUUGGUAACCGCAACAGGAAAAGGUCCAACAAUAGAAACCGCAUAGACUUCUCUGCAAAGAAAUGAUGACAAACAAAAAUGAAACUAGUCCUGAAACAAAACUUGUCGAGAAGUAGCUGAACAUUUCAGUAGUUAAAUUACAAGGAAGAGAAGAAAAAUUGGAAAUUACAAUUCAGUGACGACUCUGUAAUCUCCUUGAGUGGAACAGGUAACGCCGGACCAGGGUGGAAGGUGAGAAGCACCACAGGGAUCAUCUCCUACCCAGGAAUACACCACUCUCCAGCCGAGAGAGGCUUUGAUUUCAGUCAAAGCUUUCACUGCAAGAAAACAAAAACCCUAGUGUUAAACUCAACGGAAUUUAGCUUGAUAAGAGUGGGAAAGAAGAAGGAGAAGAGAAAGUACCAUCCCGCUUCAAGGUUUUGCAGAGAACAGAUUGAUGAGGAAGAGCAAAAAGGAAGAGGAUGAAGGAGAACGGUAUGAAUGGAAAUUGGUGCCCCAUUUUCAGUUCCUAUUCUCCCCCUGCCAUGGCUCUUCUCCAUUGUUUUGUUAAUUUUAUUAAUUGCAAGUUCCACUAGUGGCUUUUGUAAAACGUGUUUAUUUUCUAUUUGGUCUCCAAAAUUUGGAAGGUCACAUUUUGAUAUUUUUGUUAGAUCAUGUUUAGGCCCUUUAACAAUUAAUGAUUUGCUUCAAAAACAAAUAAAUGUUAAUUUUUGAGAUAAAGGACACUUGCAAAAAUCACAAAAUAAGUUAUAAUAAUUAAGUUCAUAUCACACGCAUUUUAUUAUUUGUGAAAAUGGCAAAAACGAAAUCCAACCUAUAGGUAAAAUGUCACAAAUACCCUCAUUACUAAUAUACGUUUGAUACACCUUAUAUACGUCUGAUACACAUAAUACACGUCUGAUACACCUAAUACACCCCUUGAUACACCUUAUACUUCUUGAUACACCUGAUACUUCUUGAUACACCCGAUACAUUUGAUUGAUAAACUUGAUACACCUGAUACUCUUUGAUACACUCAUACCGAAACAUACUAAUAUAUGUUUGAUACACCCGAUACACUGCAUAUACAUUUAGUAUUCUUCACUUAUACAAUUGAUUGAUUAAAUGCACUUGAUAUGCUUGAAGUCCUACUUAUACACUUGAUAUACACUUGUAAACUCGAUUCAUAUAAUUUAUAAUAAUUCAUUUUGCUGAUAUGUUUUAACAAUAUACUGUUGAUAUAUUUGAUAAUUAUACACUGAGUUACAUCAUUCAUAUACUUAAUAAUAUUCUAAUGAACUAAAUAAAAUUUGAAAAAAUGAAAAUCACGUAGUAAGUAUAUUAACCAACUAAUACAUAUAAUAUAAGUAGAUCACAACACUGACAUACGAAACUGAGACAAAGUAAAACCAAAAAAUUAAUGUAAAAAAGUAAAACAAAAUCAUUUGGAAUCAAAUUCAACUCAAAAUACACAUAGAAGAAAAUAAAAAAAAAUUACAAAUGAAGUUAAAUUACUCCAAUCAACAAUAAUUGUAUUAUAUUAUUCAUAUUACAAUUAUUGUAUUAUUGAUAUUUUAAAAUUAAGAUUAAGACAGAAAGAAUAAAUAAUUUUUAUAUUAUAAAAAUAAACAAAUAAUUAGGGCCUUAAAAAGUAUAAGCAUAAAUAAAUAAUGUCUAGGACAUUAAAAAGAGGAAGAAAAAUAAAUUAUUGAAGGGUAGUUUAGGAAUAAUAUCAAAUUUAAGAUGGAGAAGUGAAAUUUUUGUCAUAUUUGCAAAAUUCUAAAACAAUAUGUUAUAAUUGCUAUAUCAUAUUAUCAAAAUGUUAUCCUAUGCAAUUUCUCUAACAACUUUAUAUAAAUAGUGUAUUUUUUCUAUAAUUAUGCAUAUAACAAUUAUUUCAUAAGCGGAUUGACCAUAUUAGUAAUAAUAAAUUGUUAAGCAUUAUAAUGGCAAUGCAAUCCUUUUAGGGGAAUAAGACGAUGAAAUUUUCAUUAAACUAAUGAUACACACGUUAAAUCCAUCGAGAUUAGGGAAAUAAAAUCCUUUUAUGGAAUUAUCGCUAAAUGAAGUAUAUUUUCCAUAGACAUUAUUUAUUAUCAUUUAAAAAUUGAUUUUAAAGUUUGAUUUAAAACCACAAAAACACUAAAAAAUAUUAUUCAAAUGUCAAUAUUCCAAAAAAGUCGUGAGAAUAAUAUGAUUUUUAUCUGAAAUUAUUUAAUUAUAUCAAUUUUCCUACGUAGUUUUUUAAUCUGACUUUUAUUUUGAGGUACAACAAUAUUCGAAUGAAUUUGUUUUCAAUUUUGGAAUUCUUUCACGGCAGCUGUCAAUUUUAUUGUUCGCAUUUAUCGUACGCCUGUUUUGAAAUUCUUUUAGAACAGCUGUGGACUGUCUUAGAAUUUCUUUACUUUAUCCUCUACCGUUUCUUAUAAUGACAAUGCAACAUGUGAAGACUUUUUUUUUAUGGUAGAUGGAUAGAAUCUUCUCCAUAUAUUGAUUACCGUGUGGUUGAUGUAUUUGUUCCAUGCUCAUCUUCAUUUCAAGAAUUCUUACAGUUAGGUCCAACCACACACAUCAUUUGACAUCCGAUGCAAAGAUUUGUCAUGUUCAUGGUAUUUACGUGCCUCUGUGUUAAAAAAAAGUGAUAUUUGAAUUGUUCGUAAGUUUACGGAUACACACUUGUGUGUCGUUGACAUUGUUAAAAAUGAUCACAGGCAAGCAACAUCUUGAAUUGUUUCUGAGUGUACAAAGUCAUUUUUUAAAAUGAAUGACAAGGCUCCAUGUUGUCCUUUUGAUGUUAUUAAUUACAUGAAGAUUAAUCAUGUGGUAAAUGUAAGUUAUGAUAAGGCUUGGAGAGGAUGUGAGAUUGCACUAAAUUCCAUUAGGGGUACCCCGGAGGACUCUUAUGCAAUGUUGGCAGCAUUCACGGGUGCAUCGAUUAGAAACAACCCAGAUAUAAUAUAUAUAUCAAAUACUAUGUAUUCUCUAUUAAGUAUUUUACUCAUUAUGGAAAUGCACAUUCUAAUAUCUUGUUUACAUAAUUACUAGGAACGUAUACAACUGAAGAAUCAAACAAUGAAGGUCGAUUCAAGUUCCAUUUCAUGGCCCUUGCAGCUUCAAUUGAUGCAUGGAAUUAUUGUGUGCCAAUUAUUUUAGUUGAUGGUGCAACGUUGAAGAACAAAUAUUUUGGUAAAUGUAAGGUCAAAUAUUUUGGUACGUUGAAGAAAAUUCUCAAAUUGUGCCUCUAGCUUUUGUUGUGGUUGAUUCAGAGAAUUAAUAACGGUGUUAAUAAGAGUGGCCUAUUAAAUGUAGUCUUAACUAGUAACGGUGUUAAUAAGAGAGACUAUUCAUUUCGUGGUCCGAUCUUAUACAAACUCUUUGUAUAAAAUACCCCUGCUGUAAUGUCUCGACAUGAAUGAUUAUGAUCAAAUCAUUUGUAGCACUUUACAACAAUUGUAACAACUACAAAGCAGACCGUAUUCGUAGUGUCACCAGAAUAAGGUAUUCAGCCUUAUCCAUCUACUACAGACCAUUUAGGUUAUCAUUUAAACAUGAUCCACUUGUAUGUCUCCACACACUUUAUUUUAUUAGAUAAAUAAAAUGCUUGUAUAAUAUAUACAAUUACAAACUAUAAAAUCAGAAGAUUUAGAGCAUCAAUCCCAACAUUUUACACGUCAAGUAAUCCAGUGUCAAGAAUAAGAGGAUUUUUGUUUGACAGUUUUUACGCGUCAAGUAAAAUUAUGCUUGACAGUUUAUAAACGUCAAGAAUAUGUUUAUUCUUGACACAUUUUGCAUGUUAAGUUUUUUUUUUCUUUCAAAUGAAAAAUUGUACAAUUUAAAAUAUUCAUAUAAUUAUAUUAAACAUGUUUUGAAGUUCAUUCACACACAUAUAAGUAGUGCCUUUGAGAUUACACAAAGUUGCUAAACUACGCAUAUUAAAUUAAACAAUUAAAUCAGUCAAAACUUUCCAUCAAAGAACUAAUAACUUUAACAAAUUGCAUAUAUCAUUGAACCAUACAUAUAAUACUUAGUCAUUACAUAAUUAAUUACAAUACCCUAAACUUCUACCAUAUGAACAUAUUGUUCUACAUAACUCUAUGUCUAAUAUGAAAAUUUUUAAAGUUUGUAAAAUGUAAAUAUAAGAAAAAGCUAACAUUUCGUCAAUGCUCUAGAUUCUUUUACCUAUAAUUGUACAAAUAUUACAAAGUGUAUGAUAAUGUAUAUACAUUAAAACGUUGGUUGUUUGUUUUCAUAUGCGUGUGUUGCAUAGUACUUUGUGAUUGAACUAGUCUGUGUAAUGGUAGAGCAACAAGAAAAAUAUGACAAGAAAAAAAAAUGUAGAAUAGAGGACAUUUGCUUUUUUUAAAACAAAAAAUUGUCAAGAUAAAGGCAUUCUUGACAGUUAAUUAUAAUCAUGCUAGGUGUUUUAUUGACAUUUAAUAAUUGUCAUGAUUGACAUAUUCUUGACAGAAAAAAUGUCAAAAUAUAUGAAUUCAUAACAGAUAUAUCAAUAUGCAAUAAUGACAGAUAAUUACUGUAAUUUGUGUUAAUUGAUGACAAUUAUUUAUUGUCAUAAAAAAUAUAUAAUAACAACAUUUACUAUUUGUAAUAAUAGUGGAUAUGUGACAUUUAUUUUCUGUCAUGAAAACACUUAUUGUGACAGUUUUUCAAACGGUCAUAGAUAGUCUUUCUUUGACAGACUAUACAAUGACAUUGAAAAAAACUGUCAAAAAUCUUAACUAUGACAAACUUUAACUAUCGUUGUAGGCCAUUUUUCUUGUGGGUGAAAAGUUCUCACUUAUCUUUAUAAUACUGAUUUUGUGUUAAAAUAGAAUUAGUUGACGAUGGAAAUCACGUAUGAAAUGACAUAAUUAUAAAACAUGGGUAAUGUGUCCUGAUACAAGAAAAUUUUGUUAACAUAUUGUUAUUGUUCAAAUGUUUUCUUUAACAAUAAAAGUGUCAUGGCUUAGAUAUUCUUCACAAAUAAAAGAUGUCAUUAUAUAUAUACCUUUUGAUAUUUUAUUGUUGCCAUCAAUGACCAUACUGCUACAACAGAUAGCCAAUUUUCUGAUUAUCACAAUGAUUUCACAUGUCAAAGGAUACGUGACAGGAACAAUUUCUAAACAUCAGGUUAAUUUCAUUGUCUAUGGUAGAUUAUUGUCAUCUAAGAAGAUAUUAUAACAAUUUUUUCCAAUGUCAGUUGAUGAUCAUAUAUCUUUCCAAGGGAUACCAAAAAUGCAAAAUAAUUUUCAUGAAUACUUCUUGUGAUAGUUUUUAGAUGCAGGAACAUCCCAAUUUUGUUGGAGGGUUUGUGGUUUCUUUCAAUUAUCAUCUUCUUCCUAAAUGAAUAAUGUUUCAACUAAAAUAAUUGAGAAAAACUGAAAUGAAAAAUAGAAAAAGUAGACGACGUUAAUAAACUUUUAAUAGUAGGGAGAUGAUAUUGAGGUGUGAAAUUACACAUGUAACCAAGACCAUAGGUUAACUAAAUUUAACAUCCUUUCAUCUACCAUGUAGCUAAUAAAAAAAUUUCCAAAUUUCCAAAUUUCCCUUCAAAUUUCACCAAGUUUCAAGAUUUAUCCAAAUUUUAUGUAAAAAAAUAAAAGAAAUGUCCAAAAUUCAUUGAAAUUGAAAUUUUCAUUUUAUCGUAGUUAUAACUACAUGUUCAAAAAGAAAAUUGCAUCAAAUGACAAAAACAUCUAGAAAAAACAGCCCAUUACACCUUUUGUUUUUCUUUUUUGCAUAUUGUGAAUUUGACAAGUAAUUAGUGAUAUUAGACGACUAUUCGAACGUUAUCAAAGGGUUAUCAAAAAGCUAUCGGACUGUUAUUAAAGGACUAUCAGUUUUAAAUUUGCUACUUUUACAAUUUGGAAAAUGUAGUGACACGAGUCUUAUUAUCAUAAUUUCUUUUGCUAUUUUUAUAAGUGCCCUUACAAAGUGAAGUACAUGUAUAUAUGCGGGACAAGAUUAGAGAACAUGAAAGGGAAAGAGACCUAAUUGAGAGAGACAAGAAACAAAGGUAAGUAUCAUAAUUCUAUUUUAUUUAUAUAUAUAUAUAUAUGUAGGUAUAUAUAUAUAGGUAUAUAUAUAUAGGUAUAUAUAUAUGUGGUUGUAUAUUGUUAAGUAGCAGCUAGUUUAGUGUUGUAAAUGCUCAGGAAGAACAGGUCCAAAUUCCAUGAGUUGUAACGCUGCCCGUUGAUUGUAAAAUACUAUAGCUGUAUAAGUCCAAAGAAAUCCACCAGAGUUUAUAGCUUCCAACACAAGCGUGAAACAUAUUUGACCGAACCUUCGUCCCUGUUCCAACCCAUUUAUUGCCCUCUGGAACUGCAGUUUGUCACCUGUAAUUUCAUUAUGCCUUUCUGUUGCAAACCUUGCAUAUCCUUGAAUUUCUGCAGAAUCAAUAUCCUUAAUUGGCACUGGAGGAACAUCAAAAUUCCUAGAACACAUUGCUAACACCUUUCCACGACAGAUAUGUAUACUUUGGAACAGACUAUGUUUAAUUGCUUUUGAAUAUAAUAUGCAUGGGAACGGGUUCCAUAUUUAUAGUGUUGGCGUUCAAUGUUCUACCAAUUGAUGUCAUCGAAUCUAAUUUUUAUGAAGUAAAUGAAGGAAUAGUAGCUAGCGAGAAGGUGUUUAGAGAAGAUAGCUUCGAAUCAAUUCCUUUUGAUAAUUAUAUUGAGCUUCCUAUUCAUUCCUUAAACUAACUCUCAAAUUUUGGCUUUUCCUUUGCAUUCUCAUCACUUU